CAAUAGCGUAUAUUAAAGUUGUUGCAGUUAAAAAGCUCGUAGUUGGAUUUCUGUGAGAGUGCCGGUGUCGGCUGAUGCUUGUACGCAGGCGCUCUUACAUCCUUCUGUUAACUGUUCUUGGCAUUUUAUUGCUGGUUCAGGGCUCAGAUAUUUUACCUUGAGAAAAUUAGAGUGUUUCAGGCAGGCUUAUGCCGGAAUACAUUAGCAUGGAAUAAUGGAAUAGGACCUGUGCGUCUCUCGGGGCGCCGGUCUCCGUUGUUGGUUUCGGGGACUAAUGUAAUGAUUAAUAGGGAUAGUUGGGGGCAUUAGUAUUUAAUAGUCAGAGGUGAAAUUCUCGGAUUUGUUAAAGACUAACUUAUGCGAAAGCAUUUGCCAAGGAUGUUUNCAUUAA
rnacentral:rRNA from 1 species